rfam:Larimichthys crocea isolate SSNF unplaced genomic scaffold scaffold243, whole genome shotgun sequence.
GUGUGUUCAUGAUGGUCUGUCUUUAAACUCAGGAGAAGAAGCAGACUUGAUAUCUAACACUC